GGCGCCGUGGCUGCAUAGUUGGUUAAAGUGCCUGUCUAGUAAACAGGACAUCCUGGGUUCGAAUCCCGGCGGUGCCU